CUGGUCUCAGGUGCUGCUGCUUGUGAUCGGGAUCCCACAUCCUUGUUGAGUAAGAGCUCCAGCCUGACAUUUGGAAUCUGGGGACCUCACUCUUGUGAUGCCCUGUGACAUCAGGGCAGGUCAGACGUGGGGAGAGCUGGGUGGGUGGCCAUGGAGCCAGCUGACAACCAGUCAAGAAGUGACCACUGAGCCAGUAGCUCUUGCCAGUGGUCUCUCCUCCUCCUCCUCCUCCUCCUCCUCCUCUUCCUCUUUCUCCUCCUGAUCCUAGUAUUCAGUGUGCCACGUACUUGGUUGCUGGGAGCCAUUAGCCAAGUAGGUAUGACAAUUUCCUUGCCAGCGUACCCCAUGUUGCUGACAUGUUGCAGUGACAUUGAAUGUAGGUGACCUUGCUCAAGGACCAAGGCAGACCAGGGUGUUCCCGGUUUUAAGAUAAUCGUGUUUAGGGCGUUCCCAGUUUAGGUUCCAGGUUUAAGGUUUAAGAUUAUUCCUGCUGGGAAUAGGGCGUAUCCUGCUGCCUGAGUUCCCCUUGAGUUCUCACGGGAUUCAGACAGUAUAUUUUGGGAGAUAGAAGCCCAGUGGAGGAGGAUUUGGGCAGAGAACGUGGAUUUCCCCAGAACGUGAUUGUAGACGGCUGGUGUGAGUUCGGGAAUAAAGAGUUGCUGUUUGAGUCUACAAGCUGUGUGGUGGCUCGUGAUUGUGUGCCCAGCCAGACUGCGGCAUUUGUGCCCAGCCAGACUGCGGCAUUUGGCGUCCCGUGCGGGGAACUUCUGAAGCCUGGAGCCCUUAGAAGAGCCUUGCACAGAACAGACCUCAAGAAGGAAGUUUUGAACGGAAUCGAGUCCAGUGGCACAGGCACGAGAGGUCCGUGAACUAUGAAGCAGGACACAAUACAAGCCAAAGGAAAACCAUGGCGUUCUGACAAUAUCCUUCUCCCCUUCCAAAAGCGAUUUUGAGGACAAGAUCACAGCCGUGCUGUUUCCCAUCUCCCCAGAUGGCAGUGAGUGGACCUGGAGGGGACCCCUGGGCCGCCUGCAUUAAGUCCAGCUCUGCGUUUGCUGGGUGGGGCGCGUCCUCAUGCUCUUCAUCAUCUGUUCGGUGGCAGAACCCUUUGCCAGUCCCCUCGAGGCUCCUGAGAGGCCAAGGCGAGGACAACCUCUCUGUGCACUGUCACAGGCUGGGAAUGCCUCCUCCGUGGAACUCCCAGCAUCCCCCAGGGCUGCUCCCAGGCCCAUCCGUUCCAGCAGCGUUGAUGCUUUGGCGGGGGCUGUGUGGACCCCCACCCCUCAAACCAAUUCCCAACUGUAGGAACUGCCUCUAGCGCAGGCACCGAGCCCUCCCAGGCAACGGAGCAGUCAGUGCUCGCAGAUGACACCUCUUCCCUCGGGCUCCUGCACUCGGGCCACUACCCACCUGCCCGGCUCACCCCAGGGCUAGAAGUGGACAACAGAGGGGCAGCCCCUGUGCCCCAGAGCCCACUGAAAUCAUUCAAACUGUUCCAAAAGCUCAGUCCUUGUCCCCAAUGCCAAUCUAAUAACAAGGAUGAGGUUUUGAGAAAAAGGGAAAAGAAGGUUUAUUGCUUUGCUAGCAGAAGAGAAGCACAGGGGACUCCUGUCCCGGAGGCUGUGAUUCUGCCAUCAGGGAGAACCAGGGGCAUUUACAGAGGUGAUCAGAGAAAAUGAGAUUAGGGAGGAGAGAUCAGCAAGGAGAAGAUCAGGGAGGAGGAGGUUGGGAAAAAGGAAAAAAAAAAAAAAACAUGUAAGUUUAAGCCACAAGGGAGAUAGUCGAAGCAUCAAGUGAAGCCCUGUUGUAGCCCUGCAUGCUCCAUGGGUCCCCUUCUCUUGGGAAAUAUAACAAACUACCCCUUCAAUGGCAAUCAUCUUUUUAUCUGUUGCCUGCAUCUUACUUGAAUAAUAAAAAAAUCUACACUUAAA